rnacentral:rRNA from 1 species
AUAUCAAUAAGCGGAGGAAAAGAAACCAACAGGGAUUGCCCUAGUAACGGCGAGUGAAGCGGCAACAGCUCAAAUUUGAAAUCUGGCCCCAGGCCCGAGUUGUAAUUUGCAGAGGAUGCUUUUGGCAAAGCGCAUACCGAGUCCCCUGGAACGGGGCGCCACAGAGGGUGAGAGCCCCGUAUGGUACGACGCCGAGCCUCUGUAAAGCUCCUUCGACGAGUCGAGUAGUUUGGGAAUGCUGCUCUAAAUGGGAGGUAAAUUUCUUCUAAAGCUAAAUACCGGCCAGAGACCGAUAGCGCACAAGUAGAGUGAUCGAAAGAUGAAAAGCACUUUGAAAAGAGGGUUAAAUAGCACGUGAAAUUGUUGAAAGGGAAGCGCUCGUGACCAGACUUGCGCCGGGCGGAUCAUCCAGCGUUCUCGCUGGUGCACUCCGCCCGGCUCAGGCCAGCAUCGGUUUUCGCCGGGGGACAAAAGCUUCGGGAACGUGGCUCCCUUCGGGGAGUGUUAUAGCCCGUCGUUUAAUACCCCGGCGGGGACCGAGGACCGCGCUUCGGCAAGGAUGCUGGCGUAAUGGUCAUCAGCGACCCGUCUUGAAACACGGACCGAGGAGUCAAGCAUUAGUGCGAGUGUUUGGGUGUAAAACCCGCACGCGUAAUGAAAGUGAACGUAGGUGAGAGCUUCGGCGCAUCAUCGACCGAUCCUGAUGUUUUCGGAUGGAUUUGAGUAGGAGCAUUAACGCUUGGACCCGAAAGAUGGUGAACUAUACUUGAAUAGGGUGAAGCCAGAGGAAACUCUGGUGGAGGCUCGCAGCGGUUCUGACGUGCAAAUCGAUCGUCAAAUUUG